rnacentral:lncRNA from 1 species
GCGGCCAGUGGGGCUGAUUUUGAGCGGUGUCCUCGCCUUUUUCCUCCCUGCCUCGGCCCGAGGAUGAUCCUGCUCCCCGCACGGCGCCGGGGCUCCCCCUCUGCUCCCAGCCCCGCUCCCCUCUCCGAUCCCACGCAUGAAUCGCAUCGAGUGUAACAACACAUAUUGUGGGAGAAAUGUAGGAAAGGGUGCUGGGCAGGAGCCUGCCGCUCUCCCUCCCCUCCCUACCCGGCUCCAUUCCCGCUCCCGCUGCGCGGCUCCGGGAGCGGCCGACAAGUGGAUCAAUUUAUUGUUUGAUGGAGCCAAAGAUGCGAGACAUUGUUUUCCCUUCCCCGCAGCCCGCAAAUAAACAAACGGAGCCGGGGCUGCACCUUGCCGCUCGGCCCGGAUUAGCGGAGCCCACACAAAGCCUUUGUUAAGGGACAGGUUGAUUUUAUCUCCUAGAAUGAGAUCCACUUGGAAUGAAUGGGGAAAGGGAAGAGCAGUCCGUGUCCUGAUAAUUGUCGUGAGGAGCUUCACCUCGGGAGCAUCCCUCCACCCUUGGUGGUCCUGCCACGCACACCCAACCUUUUGGAUGGAAUUCUCCACUGCAGUGUUGAGCUUGGAAUCCCUCAGGAAGUUGCUCUGGAUGGAUUUAUCUCCCAGCACCCUGCCAUGGAAAACAUCUCCUCCAACUCCCCUGCGCCCACCUACACUUACGAACAAUGAUUUUACCCGGGAUGCUUCACUCAACCCCACAAACCCUGCAGGUGAAACAAGCUUCCUGGUGGGAAAAAACCAAGCAGGGUGGGAAAAAAAAAACCAGGCAAGGCGAGUGACAGUGAUGGCACAAAGCCUGGGAGCGACGUGGAGCCCCCGGCGAGGCGCAGAUAAGGAGCGCUCGCGCCGUAUCGCGGGCGCCCCAUCAAUCACGCGUCCGUCUCCCACCGCCCAGCGAGGUGGGAAUGCACGGUGGGAUCACUGUCAGCCAGGAGCAGCAGCCAGGAGCAGCAGCCAGGCUGGGAAUGCUGUGCCCAAGGGGACACCACAGUGGUGGCCUCAACGCCGGCCGGUGGCUUCCCAGGAAGGACCAGGCAGGAUUGUCAUGGUAUCUGUUCUCCUCAAGCCAGGUCCCAUAAGCUCUUAGAGAUCUAUAUCACACUCAGCUACCUUAGAAGCCACACAAUCAGCAAGAUGGCUUCUGUGGUAGUGUUAGAAACAGAAAAGUUUUAAUAAAAGGUAAAAUAACAAAGCUCUUUACA